ensembl:lncRNA
GUUUGAAGUCUUUUUUGAGAAUUCGGGGUAUAAAUGUAGGUCUUGGUGGAUUUUUCUCUUUGGAAGAAAUAGAAUGUGGGAGAGCAAAGGUUUGCUUGCUUGUAAAAGCUCAGUGUAGACUAUAGCAUUGCAAUCAUACAAGUGGGGGUGCUGGCUUUUUGUAAGUGCCACCUUUUGUUCUAAAAUAUAUAAUUCUUUUCAUUUAUUCAGCAUCAUAAUUUCUGUCAUAUGGAGUUUGUUAGGUUUUUUUAAUGGCACUUUUCUUCCUGAUUGAAUCAUUAACCUUGACAUCUUUUGUAUAUACACUUUGUCUACUGAGUUACAGCAGCACGGCUCAAAAUGCAGGCUGUCAUUUGUGACAUCAACAUGUAUCUUAGCAAAGUGCAUCCUUCCAUUCCAUUACAAUGAAAUAUAAAAUACCAGGUUGUAAGAGCUGAUGCAAUGCCAUCUCCAGGAUGAUUCUAUCCCUGAUAGGAACACAGUGGAAUAUUCAGAAACCCUGAAACCCAUUUCACAAAGGGCACUAAUCUCCUUCAUUCAUGUCAAGUUGCCGGACAUCACAGACUGCUAUGCAGGUGACAAGCCUCUGCAAGAGGAGAUAUCUGAAAGGUUAGUGCUGACGCAGUGCAGUCGUGGUGGGGAGGGGCUCAGCAUUGUCACCCAGGGGCUGCGGGGAAGUUCUCUUCCUCCUUUCAAGGUGUAAAUAAUAACACUAAAUCCUGUAGCUGAUUAAGAGUCCAAAGGACUUUGCUGAAAGAAAACAGUGCGAAAGCCUGGAAUCCUGUCAAAUUGCAGUCCCACAGAGGUUAACUCUUUUGCAGGUGCAUUGCAAUGUGGUCUUUGUAGAGAAGGCAAAACUGCAUGCAGCCAGAGCCUGAGCACCUGCUGAAUUUGGGAUUCAGAACCACCACUGGGGCUCAUCAUUUUGCAAUCAUCCCUCUUUAAAUGCUGGAUUGCACCGAAACAAAGACUCUGAAUUUUACAGGUACUGAAGUUUGGAUCUAAUAUCUAAUAUUGAGGUGGUGUUCUGUGGUCCUCAGCAGUGACAUGGUUAAGAAGGCAGUAAUGAAGGGGAUGACGGGAAGGCAAAUGCCAGUACAAUGGAUGAGGCAUUCUGGCUCAUUGCACAGAGGGAAGCUUAGCACCUGCGGCAUGAAGUUCGACCGGAUGCCCAUCGAUCUGGGUGUGGUGAAAAGCAUGAAUGUGGAGGUCAAGUGCUUGGGGACGUGCGUGGAUCCUGUAUACCUGCAUUUCUAGCAUUGCAUUCUUCAGAAGAGCUUUUCUUUUUUGGUGAGAAAUGUACCCUGGCUGGGUUAUUCAUCUGCCAGGCAGGUGUGCUCUCUCCCCAUGAAAGGAACCCAAGGGAUUCCCUUACCAGAAAGAUAGGGACCUGGCAGCAUGUUCAGGUAGGUUUCAUAGAAUCACAGAAUACAUUGAGUUGGAAGUGACCCUUAAAGGCCAUCUGGUCCCACUCCCUGCACUGAACAGGGACACUCAAUGCUCUGUCAGUGCUCAGAGCCCCAUCCCCUGACCUUGGAUGUCUGCAGGGAUGGGGCACACACCACCUGCCUGGGCAACCCAUGCCAGUUAUUCACUACCCUUAUUGUAAAGAACUUUUUUUUUCUUAUAUCCAGUCUAAAUUUCCUCACUUUCAGUGUGAAACCAUUUCCCUGCAUCCUAUCACAACAAACAGAACCCACAACACAUCAGUGAGCUCUCCACACCUGGUGUGGAGCAGGAGAUAGGGGGUGAUGGGUAAUAGUAAAUACCAUUGGAAAAGUACUGAAAACAGCAUUCAUCAAAGUGUGAGUCACGAGAAAGAGUAUUUCCUUGUGUGCUUUUUGGGAGCAAUAUCAUUAUUAGUGAACCAAAGUCUCAUUACAUUUGUCCUUUCUAAACUCUCCUCCACCACCUUAAAGGAAUUCAUCACUAUAAAGUGCCUGGGAAGGUGCACUUUUUAGUUUGCUAUAUAGGCAAGGAUUUUUUAAGGGGGGGAGAGAGGGGGAACCUUCUCCUUGUUAGGCAUGGCAGGGUGAUACAGCCAGCACCAAUUCUUCAACUCUUUCUUCUCCAAAGUCAUGGAGCACCCGGUGCUCAGCAGAGCAGGAUAUGCCCUAGAGGGGCUCCUGCAGGCAGGUGCUGAUGGGAACAAAGGGUUUAGCCAAUUUUUAUCAGUUCUGAAGCCUGCAAUAUAGAGAUAUGUGGUUCAUACAGGAGGGAGCAGUGUGGUUGAUUUAUCGCCAUAAUGCAAACACGUGUAAGUCUCCAUCAGCACGGUCCAGUGAAGCUGUAAAGCAGGAACACUGAGAGCGCCUUUGAUUAAAUAAAAUAGGAUUAAAAUGUCA